GUGGAGGCUAUAUACAGGGGGUACCGGUACAGAGUCAAUGUGGAGGCUAUAUACAGGGGGUACCGAGUCAGUGUGGAGGCUAUAUACAGGGGGUACCGGUACAGAGUCAAUGUGGAGGCUAUAUACAGGGGGUACCGAGUCAGUGUGGAGGCUAUAUACAGGGGUACCAGUACAGAGUCAAUGUGGAGGCUAUAUGCAGGGGGUACCAGUACAGAGUCAAUGUGGAGGCUAUAUACAGGGGGUACCGGUACAGAGUCAAUGUGGAGGCUAUAUGCAGGGGGUACCAGUACAGAGUCAAUGUGGAGGCUAUAUACAGGGGGUACCGGUACAGAGUCA
ensembl:lncRNA